UCGUAACAAGGUGAAGAAGAAUGUGA
rnacentral:rRNA from 1 species